rnacentral:rRNA from 1 species
GACGAACGCUGGCGGCGUGCUUAACACAUGCAAGUCGAGCGGAGCGGCGAACGGGUGAGUAAGGCGUGAGUAAGUGCCCCACUCUCUGGGAUGACAGUUGGAAACGGCUGCUAAUACCGGAUAGUGGGGGAUGACUCGCGUCCUAUCAGCGUCGUGGUGGAGUAGUGGCCUACCAAGGCGACGACGGGUAGCGGGCCUGAGAGGGCGACCGGCCACAUUGGGCUGAGAUACGGCCCAAACUCCUACGGGGGGCAGCAGUGGGAAAUAUUGCACAAUGGGGGAAACCCUGAUGCAGCAACGCGCGUGCGGGAUGACGGCCUUCGGGUUAUAAACCGCUUUCAGCCAUGACGCUUUCCUGUCCUCAGAAGCACCGGCUAACUACGUGCCAGCAGCCGCGGUAAUAC